UACGAAGGGGGCUAGCGUUGUUCGGAUUUACUGGGCGUAAAGCGCACGUAGGCGGGUCGUUAAGUCAGGGGUGAAAUCCCGGAGCUCAACUCCGGAACUGCCUUUGAUACUGGCGACCUUGAGGCUGGAAGAGGUUAGUGGAAUUCCCAGUGUAGAGGUGAAAUUCGUAGAUAUCUGGAGGAACACCGGUGGCGAAGGCGGCAUCCUGGACCGACACUGACGCUGAGGAGCGAAAGCCAGGGGAGCAAACGGG
rnacentral:rRNA from 1 species